rnacentral:rRNA from 1 species
UACGUAGGGUGCAAGCAUUAAUCGGAAUUAUUGGGCGUAAAGGGUGCGCAGGCGGAUAUGUAAGUCAGUGGUGAAAUCUUCCCGCUUAACGGGAAAACUGCCAUUGAUACUAUAUAUCUUGAAUGCUGUGGAGGUAAGCAGAAUAUGUCAUGUAGCGGUGAAAUGCUUAGAGAUGACAUAGAAUACCUAUUGCGAAGGCAGCUUACUACGCAGAUAUUGACGCUCAUGCACGAAAGCGUGGGGAUCAAACAGG